UCAGUAUUCAAUUGUCAGAGGUGAAAUUCUUGGAUUUAUUGAAGACUAACUACUGCGAAAGCAUUUGCCAAGGAUGUUUUCAUUAAUCAGGAACGAAAGUUAGGGGAUCGAAGACGAUCAGAUACCGUCGUAGUCUUAACCAUAAACUAUGCCGACUAGGGAUCGGACGGUGUUAUUUUUUGACCCGUUCGGCACCUUACGAGAAAUCAAAGUGCUUGGGCUCCAGGGGGAGUAUGGUCGCAAGGCUGAAACUUAAAGAGAGAUUGACGGAAGGGCACCACCAGGGGUGGAGCCUGCGGCUUAAUU
rnacentral:rRNA from 1 species